GACGAACGCUGGCGGCGUGCCUAAUACAUGCAAGUAGAACGCUGAAGAGAGGAGCUUGCUCUUCUUGGAUGAGUUGCGAACGGGUGAGUAACGCGUAGGUAACCUGCCUUGUAGCGGGGGAUAACUAUUGGAAACGAUAGCUAAUACCGCAUAACAAUGGAUGACACAAGUCAUUUAUUUGAAAGGGGCAAUUGCUCCACUACAAGAUGGACCUGCGUUGUAUUAGCUAGUAGGUGAGGUAAUGGCUCACCUAGGCGACGAUACAUAGCCGACCUGAGAGGGUGAUCGGCCACACUGGGACUGAGACACGGCCCAGACUCCUACGGGAGGCAGCAGUAGGGAAUCUUCGGCAAUAGGGGCAACCCUGACCGAGCAACGCCGCGUGAGUGAAGAAGGGUUUCGGAUCGUAAAGCUCUGUUGUAAGUCAAGAACGGGUGUGAGAGUGGAAAGUUCACACUGUGACGGUAGCUUACCAGAAAGGGACGGCUAACUACGUG
rnacentral:rRNA from 1 species